rnacentral:ncRNA from 2 species
CCCUUAUCAAGAAAGGCGGAGGGACAGGCCCUGCGAUGCCUUAGCAACCGGUAGCAAUACGAGGUGCUAAUUCCUGUUUCGAGGCGCGGCACCAGCCCGGCUCGGAAGAAGAUAAGCC